AGUUUGUACAAGGUAGCUCUUAAAUUUGAGGCAAAGGCUGCAGUUAUGGUCUUCCAUAGUCCAUAUGAAUGGCAAUUUUACAGUGGCAGUCAUGUGGUGCCUAACGUACACUAAUAAGGAAAACAAGGAAAAUACUAUGUAAUGGUCGUGGACACGCUUGGACCUAGCUUAUGGGACGUAUGGAAUUCUUUUGGGCAAUUGUGAGUCCUUAAGGGAUUCUUUGUGCAGAAAGACUACAAAAUGUUUCCACCUUCAGUAAAUUUGGAUAAUAUUGAUUGGUCUACAAGGAGGCUGCAAAUCGAUUUCCCUGUCCAGGUGGGCCUUACUAUGAAGGUUAGCACUAUUCAACUGGUCCCUUAGAAAUGUUGUUUUUGACACAAGUGGAUCCUAAAUUGGAACAAUAGCAAAGAUCUCAUCAUUUCUUUGUAAUUAUUUAAUGAUAUGAGUAUUCUACUACUCUAUAAUAAGUGGGAGUGAGGUUAGCAAAAGUUGAUGGUGAUGGCGAUGGUCACUGGUGGAUACCACAUAUACUAAAUUAUUAUUUUACAGUAAUAUUUUUUACUGUUCUAUGAAGUUGUUUUAAAUUUACAUUCUAAUAUUAUUAAC
rnacentral:lncRNA from 1 species